GUUCGGCUUAGAGGCGAUCCUGGCUCAGAACGAACGCUGGCGGCGUGCCGUCAGUUUGCCUGGNUUCGGCUUAGAGUUUGAUCCUGGCUCAGGAUGAACGCUAGCGGUGCGCCUAACACAUGCAAGUCGAGCGAUAUAGCGGCGAACGGGUGAGUAACACGUUGGAACCUGCCCCGGACUCAGGGAUAGCCCACCGAAAGGUGGAUUAAUACCGGAUAGUCCCGCAAGGGUAAAGCUUUUGCGGUCCGGGAGGGGCCUGCGCAGUAUCAGUUUGUUGGUAGGGUAACGGCCUACCAAGCCGAUGACGGGUAGGGGGCCUGAGAGGGUGACCCCCCACAAUGGAACUGAAACACGGUCCAUACACCUACGGGUGGCAGCAGUAGGGAAUAUUGCACAAUGGGCGAAAGCCUGAUGCAGCAACGCCGCGUGCCCGAUGAAGGCCUUCGGGUUGUAAAGGGCUUUUCUGAGAGACGAGAAAGGACGGUAUCUCAGGAAUAAGGAUCGGCUAA
rnacentral:rRNA from 1 species